rnacentral:rRNA from 1 species
CCUACGGGGGGCAGCAGUGAGGGAUAUUGGUCAAUGGGGGAAACCCUGAACCAGCAACGCCGCGUGAGGGAAGACGGUUUUCGGAUUGUAAACCUCUGUCCUUUGUGAAGAUAAUGACGGUAGGAGAGGAGGAAGCUCCGGCUAACUACGUGCCAGCAGCCGCGGUAAUAUGUAGGGUGCAAGCGUUGUCCGGAUUUACUGGGUGUAAAGUGUGCGUAGGCGGGUUUUCAAGUCAGAAGUGAAAUGCAUGGGCUUAACCCAUGAAAUGCUUUUGAAACUGCAGAGCUUGAGGGGGGGAGAGGGAGGCGGAAUUCGCGGUGUAGCGGUGAAAUGCGUAGAGAUCGGGAAGAACACCAGUGGCGAAGGCGGCCUGCUGGGCUCUAACUGACGCUGAGGCACGAAAGCGUGGGUAGCAAACAGGAUUAGAUACCCGAGUAGUC